GAUGAACGCUGGCGGCGUGCCUAAUACAUGCAAGUCGAGCGAACGGACGAGAAGCUUGCUUCUCUGAUGUUAGCGGCGGACGGGUGAGUAACACGUGGAUAACCUACCUAUAAGACUGGAUAAACUCGGGAAACCCGAACCAAAUACCGAAGAUAAUUUUAAACGCAAGGUUUAAAAAUGAAAAAAGGUCUUUCUUUCACCUAUUGAUGGAACCGCGCUGCAUUAGCUAGUUGGUAAGGUAACGGCUUACCAAGGCAACGAUGCAUAGCCGACCUGAGAGGGUGAUCGGCCACACUGGAACUGAGACACGGUCCAGACUCCUACGGGAGGCAGCAGUAGGGAAUCUUCCGCAAUGGGCGAAAGCCUGACGGAGCAACGCCGCGUGAGUGAUGAAGGUCUUCGGAUCGUAAAACUCUGUUAUUAGGGAAGAACAUAUGUGUAAGUAACUGUGCACAUCUUGACGGUACCUAAUCAGAAAGCCACGGCUAACUACGUG
rnacentral:rRNA from 1 species